AGCAGCCGCGGUAAUUCCAGCUCCAAUAGCGUAUAUUAAAGUUGUUGCAGUUAAAAAGCUCGUAGUUGAAUUUCGGGAUUCUACCGUUGGUCAGGCUAUUGUCUGUACUGGCGUGUAGAAUUUCUACCUUCUGGGGAACUAUCAUGUUAUUAAUUUAGCGUGGUAGGAAACCAGGACCUUUACCUUGAAAAAAUUAGAGUGUUCAAAGCAGGCUUAUGUCUGAAUACAUUAGCAUGGAAUAAUAAAAUAGGACGGUGGUCCUGUUUUGUUGGUUUCUGAAUCACCGUAAUGAUUAAUAGGGAUAGUUGGGGGCAUUAGUAUUCAAUUGUCAGAGGUGAAAUUCUUGGAUUUAUUGAAGACUAACUACUGCGAAAGCAUUUGCCAAGGAUGUUUUCAUUAAUCAAGAACGAAAGUUAGGGGAUCGAAGACGAUCAGAUACCGUCGUAGUCUUAACCAUAAACUAUAGCCGACUAGGGAUCGGACGAUGUUAACUUUCUUGUACUCGUUCGGCGCCUUACGG
rnacentral:rRNA from 1 species